GAAAGGCGUAGUCGAUGGGAAACAGGUUAAUAUUCCUGUACUUGGUGUUACUGCGAAGGGGGGACGGAGAAGGCUAUGUCAGCCGGGCGACGGUCGUCCCGGUUUAAGCGUGUAGGCUGACUUUCCAGGCAAAUCCGGAAAGUUAAGGCUGAGGCGU
rnacentral:rRNA from 1 species